AGCUGUCGACGUGGGGCCGCGGCCGCGGGCGGUUAGGGGUUGGGGUGUGGGUUCCGAGCAGGAGGCGGGGAUGGGGGGGCUGCGGCUUCUGGCAGUGGCCCUCACCUGCUGCUGGUGGCCACCAGGCAGCCAGGGUAAGACGCUGCGGGGCAGCUUCAGUAGCGCCACGGCCCGAGACGCUCAGGGCCAAAGCAUCGGCCACUUCGAGUUCCACGGUGACCAUGCUCUUUUGUGUGUCAGAAUCAACAACAUAGCAGUGGCUGUUGGAAAGGAAGCUAAACUCUACCUGUUCCAAGCCCAGGAAUGGCGAAAGCUGCAGGAAGGUGGUCCUGAGUAUAGUUGCAGUGAAAAAUUAUCCAAAGCUCAGUUGACAAUGGCCAUGAAUCAGACGGAACAUAACUUAACAGUGUCCCAGACUCCUCACCCUCAGAAGUGGCACGUGUUCUACGCAGACAAGUACACGUGCAGAGAGGGCGGGGAGGAGUCUCAGGGGGAAGACAUCCCAUUUGAAAUGAUGUUGCUGAACCCGGAUGCAGAAGGGAACCCAUUUGAUCAUUUCAGUGCUGGAGAAUCUGGGUUACAUGAGUUCUUUUUCCUCCUGGUCCUAGUCUACUUUGUGAUCGCUUGCAUUUAUGCGCAGUCGUUGUGGCAGGCUAUUAAGAAAGGCGGACCCAUGCACAUGGUUUUAAAGGUUCUGACAACUGCAUUGCUGUUACAAGCUGGUUCGGCUUUCGCUAAUUACAUUCAUUUCUCCAGUUACUCCAAAGAUGGAAUAGGGGUACCUUUUAUGGGAAGUUUGGCAGAAUUUUUUGACAUCGCUUCCCAAAUUCAAAUGCUAUACCUACUUCUGAGUCUGUGCAUGGGUUGGACAAUAGUCAGAAUGAAGAAGUCUCAGAGCAGACCUCUCCAGUGGGACUCUACUCCUGCAUCCACUGGUAUUGCUGUAUUCAUGGUCAUAACACAGAGUAUUUUGCUACUUUGGGAACAGUUUGAAGAAACCAGUUCUCACAACCACCAUUCGCACCACAGCUUAGCAGGAAUCCUUCUUAUCAUUUUAAGAAUUUGCCUAGCGUUGUCCUUAGGCUGCGGGCUCUACCAGAUCAUCACAGUGGAGAGGAGUACACUCAAAAGGGAGUUCUACAUCACCUUUGCCAAAGGCUGCAUCUUGUGGUUUUUGUGCCAUCCAGGUCUUGCAUGCAUUUCUAUCAUUUUUGAUGACUACCAAAGAGAUAAGGUCAUUACAAUAGGUGUUAUCCUUUGCCAGUCUGUUGCCAUGGUCAUUCUCUACAGACUCUUUCUAUCCCACAGCCUGUACUGGGAAGUUUCUUCACUUUCCUCAGUAACACUACCACUGACCAUAUCAUCUGGACACAAAACUCGGUCUCACUUCUGAUACUUGCUUUUCUCUAAAGAAAAGUGAAUUGAUUCACCAGAGUGCAAUAAGGAUCCAAAUACAGUGACUUUUUUUUUCAUACUUGUGGUAUGAAAAACUGAACAGAGAAAGCAGAGCAUGUUAUAUAUAUAACUGCAUUUAAGCAGUACCAAACUGAAAACUGAAAAAAAGAUGGUAGCUCGUCCUUUUGGCUCCUUAGCCAAACAUGUCAUCAACUGUCUGAAUUGUGGUUGCUUCCAUAGUGAUCCAAGAAACUGAGCGCAACAUUUCCCUGCCUGCCCUUCAGCUUCCGAGAUCCUGUCUCUCUCACUCUGCCCAGUAGGACCCCUUCCUUGUGCUGAAAGAAUCCCUUUGCUCCGAACCAGAUGUUUUCCCCCAGGGCUCGGCUUUAAGUCGGUAAGGCAAUAUUUCCUGCCCUUUGUCUCCUCAUUUCUCAUGCUUCUACUCUUUAUCAUAAUGUUGUUUUGGUGUUUCUAGUUCUUGAUGAUACACCACUGUCAGCUCAAGCGCACGCUAUGAGUUUCAACAGCUGUGACAUGUCUAAACCGCAUUAUCUUGAAAGUGUUGGCACCAGUGAAAAAUAGAAAGGAGCCAAAUUAAUAAAACAAAACAUUUCAAAGGGUUCCUAUGGAUACACCCUGAAACCGGGAAGUACCCAUUGGGCUGAGUUGACUCACCCCUCCUGUAAUCGCCUCUCCUAGCCUUGCUGCAUCAUUUAUGUCCACACCGUAUAAUGCAUGCUUGAGGAGAGUCGGAGCAUCUGAUGAUUGCAAUCACAUCACCAAAGGUGUGGCUUUUUGCCUAUAAAAUCCAUUCUUAAAUGGGUUAUUGUGUUUGAAGUGAUUGAUUACAGUCUUUAGAGAUAAAAUAUGAAUACUGUACAAGGGGUGUGGAAACCAAGGUACAAAAAUGGUAUGUUUUAUGUAAAGGAGUAAUCAGAAAAUAAUGAGUAUGCAUUCUAAUGAAGGUAAAGUCACUGCAGCAGAUUGAAAAGACUUCCUUUUAUUGCGAGUAGAACCUGUGCAGAGCCGGGCUCAGGCAGUAAUAACGCGGUGUUGCGUUCCUUUACAUCUGAUUUUAUGAGACCUUUAAGUGUCGGUGCUACUCUCCUCUUUAUGUAUUCGUAUUUUAGUUUUAAUACAGUUGCUUAGAGUUUGAUUUUUUUUAAUGAGGUGAAGCUUCAGGGUGUAAACAUAAAUGCCUCUGAGUUAUGAGUGGCAGGGGAGGAGUCAGGAAAGGAAGAAUAUAGUCUGAAGUGAAGAUCAGUUUAUUUUUCAUUUGAAAAGGAAAUGCUUUUUAUCUCCGUAUGUGUAGUGACCUUUUUUUUUUUUUUUGCUGAGUGAUUUACCUAUACCUGACCUUUUCUAUUUAGUUCUUCAUCAUUCCCUUUAUACUUUCUAAGAGCUUUGCCUAUAAUGCAUAUUGGAAAUUUUUCCUUGUUUGUGAUUUGCUUUUCCGUUUAGUUUGUGAUUUUUUUGGCGUUCGGAAAUGUAGUUUUCAUAUAGUUAAAUAUGUGAAUAUUUCCCUUUGAUGUUUCUACCUUUAGUGUUCUUUAGUACCUUAAAGAUUAUAUAUACAGUUAUUUUUUAUUCACUAAUUCCAUGGUUUGUUUUGUUUUGUUGCAAUCAAUUUCUUAUCUACUUGGAGUUUAUCUUGAUGUAAAACAAUAGUUCUUAUCCGGGGCUGUGCAUUAGAAUUACGUGAGAAAAACAUUUAUGUGUCUAGCUAGAUGCCGUCCAGACUAAUUCAUUUAGACUUUCUGAGGGUGGGGUCUGGCCAUUGUAUUUUUCUUAGAAUUUCUGCAAGUGAUUUGUGAUUCAUAACCAGGGUCAAGAAACACUGUUUAAAGAAUCAGGUAUGGAUGCAAUGUUUUGUUUUCCAUAUUGUUUCAACCCGCAUUACAAAGAUGUUUUUAAAGACUAUUUGCAAAUAUGAAAAUGGUGAUGAUAAAAUGUGCGUAAGUGAAAAAAAUUGACAUAAACUUUACAUGUGUGGCGAAUAUACCUAUACCCCCUGAUUCCAACAAAAAACUGAGAAAAUACAUUAAAAUCUUUAAAUACAUUUAAAUCAGAGAUUUAAAUCUCUGAUGAUUGUCUCAGAGUAGUGGAAUUCAAAUGUUCUUACUUAUUCCUUUCUGCCUUUUCCAGAUUCUCUAUAAGGAGAAUUAAUUGCCCUUUAUCAUAAGAAAAUUCUGUUGCAGAAGGACGUUACUUUUUUAAAAGAUUAAUUUCUAGUCGUUACUUUUUAAACAGUACAUCGAAGAGUAUGGGAAAUGUUUCGGCUGUGACCGUUUUCAUUAGAUUAGAUCUGUGGCUUGUAAGAUGAGGACAUUGCACUUGCAUACCUAAGUUUUACUGUUUGCUGCUUUUAUUUUAUAAACAAAAAUAUGUUUAUUUUAUAGACAUAUACUGAUUUUAAUCAUAACCAAUUUUAAGUUUAUGAAAUGUUUGCUUUUUAGCAUUAAGUUAUCUCUGAGAAUAAAACACAAUUUUGGAAAGACUGAUAAAAAUAAUCUGUAGAGUUCAGCAUCUGAUUUCUUUGGCCAGUAAGGAAAUCACAGUGGCCAGUAUGGUUUUAUCUUAGCUUGUGUUAACACAUUUCCUCAUUCUGCAGAAGAGAUUCAAUUUAAUACUAAGAUUCAUGUAGGACUUCUGUAGACAUUAGAAACUGAGAACUUUAGACCAUAUCAAAUCCAUUCUCCUGGUGACAAAAACAAUUUGUUUAAAAUUGAAGUGUAGUUGAUUUGCAAUAUUGUGUUAGCUUCAAGUAUACAGCAAAGUGAUUCAGCUUUUCAGAUUCUUUUCCAUUCUUUUCAGAUUUUUUUCCAUUAUAGGUUAUCACAAGAUAUGGAAUAGAGUUCCCUGUGCUAUACAGUAGGUCCUUGUUGUUUAUGCUGACAAUUGACAAGACUGUUUGAAGGCCAUUUAUUUUACUGGAGCCUUACAAAAGUUCUUGUAUUCGGUUGGUGGGAUUUUACCGUAUGUAAUCGAAAGUAGGGUUUCAUUGUUUUAAGAUUUACCGUUAAUUUUACCAAGAAGCAGAUUAUGCCAGAAUGCUUUCCAAUUAUAUUGACUAUUAAAUGCAUUCAAUUUCAAGAUCUUAAAAUCUGAAACACAUAUGCAUCUUAGAAUUGGAACACAGCCUUUUUUCUUUUUAAAUGAGAAUAUGGGAAGAUGAAACUUUCUUUUCCAAUACAUCCAGGAUUUAAACUUUAACAUUCGAAUGUUCUAGACCAUACAGACAAUUAAUCUGUAGAUGUUAUAACAGAUUAGUGAAGAAAGGACGUUGUAUGAUCAUUUUUUGAGGAGAUGUAUUUAGUCCAAGUGAUGAAAGUAUUAUUGUGGGAGGUCAACCUAAGAAGGAUCAGAAGCCACAUCUUCCUACCAAUCCAAGUAACACUGGUUUUCUGCCAUAUGGAGUGUGAUAUCUUAUGGCUAGUGAGAGUUCUUCUGCACAAGUUUUCUAAUUAGCUAAAUGACUCAGGCCCUACUUUGUUAUAGCUUUGGCAUCUUCCCUAAGUGCUAGAGGGGAAUAAGGGGAUGCAUAAGUAUUUAACUAGUUAGAUCUGAGCAGAGUGGCAAUUACAUGACUCAGUCAAAUUUUACAGUUACAGCUUUGAAAAGGAAUCUUAGAGAUUCUCCUAAAACGGUCCCCUCAUUUUGAAGAAAGGAAUCUAGAGGCUCUGGGCAGAGGCGAGGAGGUAUAAAUAAUUUGCUCGAGAUCACACAGUCACAUAGAGGCAGAACCAAGCCUGGAAUCCAGGCCCCAGGCUCCCAGUCUGAUACGCCCUUUCCACUGUUACACAUUCCCCAUAUUCAAGGAUAUGAAAAUGGUGGGUGUUAAGUAAGUUUAAGCACACUGAAUUUAUAAACUAUGUGCUGAUUUUGGCAUAUUUGUUUUGUAAGUGUUUGCUUCAUCUACUUUGGGAAAAUCCAAAAAGGAAACUGGCAGUGAUGACUUAUUUAUCACUCACAGAGUUCAAGGCAGAGCCAAAUACUUUGUCUAAUAUAAUCCUCUCAACAACCUCGAGAGGGAAUGAGUUCAAAUAGAUAAAGUAAUUUACGCAAAGUUACACAGUUAAGCAACAGAACUGAGAGUGUAUCAUGCUCUAAAGCUUAUUAACUGCUACACUCAACUCCCUUCUUUGGAUGAAGUCAGACUUCAAGUGAGGUAUUCUAUAUUGCACAGAAGAUGGACACCCUGAGCCUCUCAUGUUUGCAGACGAUACUUUGACAGACUUGCCAGAACAUUCAUAGCCCCGGCUGGGAGAGGAGUAGGAAGGGCAGCUUCUUUGGGGAGGAAACUUUCACUGAUGCUAUUGUGUUAUAUUUGCAGGGAGGGGAAAGAAAAGGCCUUCAGAUCUCCCAGAUCAAUCAGCCUGAUAAGCUGAUUUUUAUUGGUAGCAUAACAUCUUUCUCAUCAAUCAGAUUAUCGCUCAUUUUUAUUAAAUAAUAUGGAUUUACUGAGGUGUGUUAAAGAAAAUAAAAAUCUUUUAUUUUUUUAUUAUAAGUUGUAAAUUUGCUUAUUCUAUUAUUAAGUGUAAUUUUUAAGCAUUUUUUAUCCCUUUGCAAAUAUAUGCCAUAAAAAAGUAUUAAGCGUGACCUCAAAAAUAGGUGUGUCCUUGGUAAGAACUGUAAAAUGCUCUCUUCAGGAAUAGUAGUAGCAUUAACACAUUGCUCUCUCAUCACAACUUUUUCUUUAAAAAAUUUUUUUAUUGAAAUUCUACAAUUUGAGUCCAAGUUUGUUCUCUUCACACACAUUCCUGAAUGAUUUUUUUUCUUGGUUUAUUGAGAUGUAAUUGACAUGUAACACUGUAUAAGCUUAAGGCAUACAGCAUAAUAAUUUAACUUAUAUAUAUUAUGAAAUGAUUAUCAUUACCAUAAUAAGUUUAAUUAACCUCCAUAGAUACAGAAGAAAAAGGCAAGAUGGCAAAUGAAAAAAAUCAUUUUUUGCUGAUGAAAACAGCAAAAUGUUGAAGAGAGCUCUUAGGAGGUAUUCUCUUAACAAUUUUCAAAUAUAGCAUAGAGCAGUGUUAACAGUGGUCAUCAUUUUGUAUGUUAUAUCCUCAGUACUUACCUAUCUUAAAACUGCAAGUUUGUAUCUUUUGACAUCCAGUUCCCUGUCUCUCCAUUCCCCUCCUCUGGUAACCACAAAUCUGAUCUCUUUUUUUGUGUCUAUGGUUUUAUUGUCAUGUUACUGUUUUAGAUUUCACAUAUAAAUAAAAUCAUACAGUGUU